rnacentral:rRNA from 1 species
GGUUAAUUCCACCUCGGGGAGUACGCCGGCAACGGUGAAACUCAAAGGAAUUGACGGGGGCCCGCGACAAGCGGAGGAACAUGUGGUUUAAUUCGAUGAUACGCGAGGAACCUUACCCGGGCUUGAAUUGCAUCUGACGUAGCCGGAAACGGCGUAUUUCUUCGGUACAGAUGUGAAGGUGCUGCAUGGUUGUCGUCAGCUCGUGCCGUGAGGUGUCGGCUUAAGUGCCAUAACGAGCGCAACCCUUGUCAUCAGUUACUAACAGUUAAAGCUGAGGACUCUGAUGAGACUGCCAUCGCAAGAUGUGAGGAAGGGAGGGAUGACGUCAAAUCAGCACGGCCCUUACGUCCGGGGCUACACACGUGUUACAAUGGGAGGUACAGCAGGCAGCUACCCGGCGACGGGAUGCCAAUCCGUAAAGCCUCUCUCAGUUCGGACUGGAGUCUGCAACCCGACUCCACGAAGCUGGAUUCGCUAGUAAUCGCGCAUCAGCCACGGCGCGGUGAAUACGUUCCCGGGCCGUCGACGCGGCCG